GACGAACGCUGGCGGCGUGCUUAGCACAUGCAAGUCGAACGGAAAGGCCUGCUUUCCCUUGUGGUUUGCGGGUACUCGAGUGGCGAACGGGUGAGUAACACGUGAGUGAUCUGCCCCCAACUUGGGUAUAAGCCUGGGAAACUGUGUCUAAUUCCCGAUAGGACUGCAGGGUGGUGCCGGUGGUGGAAAACGAUCUUCUAGUGGUUGGGGAUGAGCUCGCGGCCUAUCAGCUUGUUGGUGGGGUAAUGGCCUACCAAGGCGGGGACGGGUAGCCGGCCUGGGAGGGGGCACAGCGGAAUUGGGACUGAGAUACGACCCAGACGGCAAGGAGAAGCAGGGAAGGGGGAUAAUGGAGAGUAAGCCGAAGCCAGAUGCAGCGAGGGCGCGUGGGAGGUGUCGGGGUUGGAGAUGUAAACUCCUUUCGAACAAGAGGAGGCCACCUGGUUGGAAGGGUGGUGACGGUAGUGAAAGAAGAAGCACCGGCUAACUACGUG
rnacentral:rRNA from 1 species